AUAAAAGUUUACCUACAACACUGCUCAAAACAUUUUUAAAAUUCUGAGUCAUGUUCUUGACCUAUGCUCACCCUACAGAAUAAAUGUAUGACUCCAUAGUAUUUGUUCUCCCAAACUACUGAGUAAUUAAAGUCAGUAAUUUGAACACAUUUCUUCUCUUCAACUCAUAAGGUUAUUAAAAGUAUUUUAUAAAAGAGAUCUGCAACCCUAUAGGUGGAACAACAUUAUGAACUAACCAGUACCCCAGAGCUCUUGACUCUAGCUGCAUAUGUAUCAAAAGAUGGCCUAGUCGGCCAUCACUGGAAAGAGAGGCCCAUUGGUCAGGCAAACUUUAUAUGCCCCAGUACAGGGGAACGCCAGGGCCAAAAAAUGGGAAUGGGUGGGUAGGGGAGUUGGGGGGGGAGGGUGUGGGGGACUUUUGGGAUAGCAUUGGAAAUGUAAUUGAGGAAAAUACGUAAUAAAAAAAAAGUAUUUUAUAAAAUACAAUGCUUAUGACUUAAAGGUUAACAUAUCACCAGACCCCCAAAAAAAAUCCUUUUUAAUCUUUCACUCUCUACACCUGAUUCUCAACAUGUGGGUCAUGACCCCCUUAGGGGAUUUGAAUAACCCCACAGGGGUCACAUAUCAGAUAUUCUACAUAUCAGAUAGUUACAUUAAAAUCAGUAACAGCAAUAAUGUUACGACUGGGGUCACCCCAGCAUGAGAAAUGUAUUAAAGGGUUGCGCAUUAGAUGGCUGAGAGCCACUGCUCUAAAUGAAAUCACAUUGUGGAGCCCUUUUCCUCUCACUGUUAAAUGAACUUAAAAUGUGUAUAAUUAUUUUUCUUUUCAGUAUUCUCUAUGUAAAAUUUAGAUGACAAAAAUGGAAAAAUAUUGUCACCUAAUUCAUUUUAGUAUUCAUCUAUUCUUCUCCAAAUUUAAUUUAUUGAGUACAGCUUGAGUACUUACUAUAAAAGAGACGUCGUGCUAGAUAUGGGAUGGGACAUGGUUAAACAGACAUGGCCUCUGUCCUGACGAAGCUUGUAAUUCUCAGCAAGAAUUAUACACAAGAAGUAAGCAAAUAAUUACACACAAAAAAAGAAAAGGAGUGAAAGAAAACAUCCCCCUGUGACAUGCAUGAUAUGAUUUAAGUCUUAAAUGUAAAGGCCUUUGUGUACAUUUACAUCUCUUUACAUAUAUUCAUAGUAAAGUAGUUUCUCUUAUAAUCGUGAGGGCAGUGUGUUUGUGCAGGCGUUCAGUCCGUCUCUAGACACUUAGCUAGUUACUCUCUGGGCUUUCUUCCUUUGAGAUCCAAUCAUCAACCAGCGCCUCCUUACUGCUCGCUCUGAGCCAGGCAUUAUGCUAAGCACUAUGUCUAUAGUGUUAAGAUCAAUCCUCAUGAGCCCGUGACCAGGCCAAUUAGAACAAAUGUGAGCGUGUGGCAGGAUAGCAUGGCACUGUCCUAAAGUGACAACUUCAUGUUACUCACUCAGAUCUUUAUUGGACAAUUUCCCACCUCUUUCCCAUAAAAACUCUUUCCCAACCGUUAUACAUAAAAUUUAAUUUUAAGGUUAUGAAGCAAACUGGACUUCAGAGUACUGAAAAACACUUUAAAUGAUCCUGGAAGUAAAAGUUAAAAGCGCUUACUUACCAAAAAGGCAUUGGAUAAGCAAAGCGUUCCCUUAGAUCAACACUCAUGAAAGGAACAUAUUCUACACCAUUUAUUUUUGAUGUUGUCCUACAAGGCACAAGAAAAAACAAUCUGUUUUCAAGUCUAUAUUAAUCACCAAUCUUACUUAAAUCCUAAAUUUAAAUGACAAUAGCUUCCCAGCCUUUUAGCUAACACCAAAGGUCAAACUUCAGAGACAAAGUGUGGUACUGUAUUAAAUCGACAGCUUCGUGGUAUUCGGGGCUUUAUUAGGACAGUUUUGAGUAAAAAAACAACAACAACAGAUGAUCACUGUUAUAAUUCAGUUCAGUUUAAUAAGAACGUUCUUUUAAGAUUAAAAUCCUGGGUUUGGGAUGUAGCUCUUUUGCUAUCAUGUGUAAGAUUCAAACUUCAGCACAAAUAUUUAAUUAGCUAAAGUAGCAACAGCAGGGGAGGGGGAAGACCACCUGACAUCCACUACAGAAAUACUGUAGUCUUAAAAUUGGCCUUUGUGUCCAAUGCAAGGCUAUAAAGCCAAGUCUAUCCUAAUCCCAAAGAAACAAAGCAGUAACUUGGUUAUUUAGGAAUUUAAAAACAUACCACAACUCUAAAAAAAUGUGGUCUUUCUAUAUUUUGGCUAUGGGAAUAUGGACAAAGUGGUAUGUAUAAAAGUAGUAUACAGAUACUAAGUAGACAAAAUGAUGAAUUUUCACUGUUCUGGCUAGCCUCAGUUGAGGAAAAGGCUCCCUAAGAUUGGCAAGCCUGUGGGACAUCUUCUUAACUAGUAGCUGAUGAGGUAGAGUUCAGCCCACUGUAGAUGGUGCCAUGCCUAGCCUCGUGGUUCUGCAUUCUAUAAGAAAGCAGGCUGAGCAAGCCAUGAGGAGCAAGCCAGGAAGCAACAGCACUCCCUUGGCCUCUGCAUCAUCUGCAUCCAGGUUCCUGCCUUGUCUGCAUUCCUUUCCUGACUUCCUUUAAUGAUCAGCAGUGAUAUGAAAGCAUAGUUGAAUAAACACUUUAGCUGAAUAAACUUUUCCUCCCUAAAAUGCUUUGGUCAUGAUGUUUUAACAUAAAAAUAGUAAAACCCUAAGACACUAAUUUAAAGCCUCAGCUUUAAAAGGAACUUUUGUUGUUGUUUUGUAUUUUGCUUGUUCACAUACUAUUUUCCCUAGGGUUAAUAGGUGCAUUAAUUAAAAUCUUCAGCAAGAAAGGAGCUGCUCUGGAAGGCAGAGAGGAGGGAAUGCCUCCCUUCAGCUCCACCUCAGGAAAAUUUAAAAUGAAUGCCCAACUAUGAAUGCCCAAAAUAAAAUGACCUCCCCAACUCAAGAGCAGCCAGCUGGCUCAGAGAUGAUCCUCUCUCACCUGAUCACUGAUUCAGAAGACGGUCAAGGAUCUCUACAUUACCAUGGGUCUUGCUGCUACUGGUUUUUGAGGUAGAGUCUCCCCGUGCAGCCCAGGCUGACCUUGAACCUG
rnacentral:lncRNA from 1 species